rnacentral:rRNA from 1 species
CCUACGGGAGGGCAGCAGUGGGGAAUUUUGCGCAAUGCUCGUAAGCGUGACGCAGCGACGCCGCGUGAAUGACGAAGGCCUUCGGGUCGUAAAGUUCUUUCGACAGGGAAGAAAAUGCCUAUAAGUAACUGUGUAUGUAUUGACGGUACCUGUAUAAGCAGCCCGGGCUAACUCCGUGCCAGCAGCCGCGGUAAUACGGAGGGGGCGAGCGUUGUUCGGAGUGACUGGGCGGAAAGAGCACGUAGACGGUGUUGUAAGUCAUUAGUCAAAGACUAGGGCUCAACUUUAGGAAGGCUAGUGAUACUAGAAUACUAGAGUGUCAGAGAGGAUUGCAGAAUUCCUGGGGUAGCGGUGAAAUGCGUAGAUAUCAGGAGGAAUACCGUUAGCGAAGGCGGCAAUCUGGCUGGAAACUGACGCUGAGGUUCGAAAGCGUGGGUAGCAAACAGGAUUAGAUACCCGGGUAGUC